CCCAGCGCCUCCACCUCCUGCGAACCAGCCGCUCGCCCAGCGCCGCCUCCUUGCCGCCCGCCCAGCGCCUCCACCUCACGCCCAUCAACGUCACCUGGCGAGCCGCACCUGAGAUCGGCGCACGACUUCCCUGGACACCGUCACCUCCUCCAUCGUGGAGUACGGACAGCAGCUCGCAGAUUCCCCUCCCUCAAUCUGCACCUUGCCCAUGCUCGCCCCUCCCUGCAUCCGCUUGGUGUCGAUCCUCUCUUCUUCCCUGCGAUCCGUUUUUCACUCCGCGCCGAUCGGAUCAGUCUGCUGUGAUGGCCGGUUCCGUGCGAACCCAGCGGAUUCCGUCCUCCGGCCUCCGCGAACCCUCGUCCUCCCUCUCUACGCCACCUCCACCUGCCCUAACCCCUGCCCACUCUGCUGUCCCGGGUCAGCGGAGAUGCGAGUGGGAUCCAUAAUUCCACAUCGAUGAACAAGAAGGCCCCAUUGCACUCUCCGUCAUUUUCUGUGGUAUCCCCAUCAGAGAUUUCAGGCAUGGAGGUUUCUGCUUGUAUUUUUUAAAAAACCAAUGCUUGUGUGCGUACAUGGAAAUGGAAUAGUAUGAAUCAUUUGUGGCAUACUUGCAUUCUGCAGGUUAUAUGUGUUUCCCAAAAAUAUAGCAUGUUGUUUAAAUUAUUCCAAUCAAAUGCUCAGCAAUAUGAAAUUGAUCGUGGGGUGCUUGUGCCAUGUGCCUCAACCACAACGGUUCAGUGCAGAGCAGAUGGACAGCAUCAACGUAACUAACUGGAACUGGAAGAUUGAUCCUCCUAAUGGUGAAAAAAUUAUCAAAGUUCCUGAGGUUCAGGGAACCGAAAUGAAGAUGGAUGACUUCCUGGUGUGAUGCCUUGAGGAGUGUAUGGUGACUGAGGGGGCUGGGUGAAGGAGAAGCCGGCGGCGGCGAAGAAAAAGUUCCUCCUCGAGAGGCCUGCUGUGCUUUGAAGAAAAGUGCCUCCUCGAGAGGCCGAGGUCACCAAGAUGUGCACUAAACAGGUGCGUGCUUCAACUCCAGGUAUUGUUCCGUUCCUCUAUCUGCCAAUUCUGAUUCUCAUGGAUCCACACGUUCAGAUUGUUUAAGGUUUCUUUGUUUUUCUUACCUUCUCCGAUCAUAGAUCAGUGUAUGGCUCUACGAUUUUUAGCCCAGUUUGCUGAUCUAUGGGAAGAUAAUGAUCCGAACCUUCCUUUUCUGUUGUAACUGCUGCUUCUACAUUCCUAUGGAUUAGCAAAUAACAGUGUGUGCUUAUGUACUUUCUAGCUAGUCAAAUGUGCAGUAACAUUUUUCUGCUUGUAUCGACAUUUUGUAAGCUAAAUAUAUAAUUGAUCAAUUACCAGUUGUGUGCUCAA